AUGAACGCUGGCGGCGUGCCUAAUACAUGCAAGUCGAGCGAACAGAUGAGGAGCUUGCUCCUCUGACGUUAGCGGCGGACGGGUGAGUAACACGUGGAUAACCUACCUAUAAGACUGGGAUAACUUCGGGAAACCGGAGCUAAUACCGGAUAAUAUAUUGAACCGCAUGGUUCAAUAGUGAAAGACGGUUUUGCUGUCACUUAUAGAUGGAUCCGCGCCGCAUUAGCUAGUUGGUAAGGUAACGGCUUACCAAGGCAACGAUGCGUAGCCGACCUGAGAGGGUGAUCGGCCACACUGGAACUGAGACACGGUCCAGACUCCUACGGGAGGCAGCAGUAGGGAAUCUUCCGCAAUGGGCGAAAGCCUGACGGAGCAACGCCGCGUGAGUGAUGAAGGUCUUCGGAUCGUAAAACUCUGUUAUUAGGGAAGAAAAAAUGUGUAAGUAACUAUGCACGUCUUGACGGUACCUAAUCAGAAAGCCACGGCUAACUACGUG
rnacentral:rRNA from 1 species